CUAGACUAAAAGGUAAAUAAAACUCUACAUAAAGAAUCAGAUAAUCAUUAUUAUAAUGAAAAAUACCUAACAUUAUGUAUGUAAUGACCAGAUAUGAUAAUUCAUGAAAUAUGUGUCGGUUGUUCAAGAGGGAUCCAAAAAAUCAGAAAUCUUUAGUAACUUCCUCAAUGUUAUACAGCUGUUAUGAAGGACAGGAUUUUAACUUCAAAAUUUGUCUUUCUUGCGACUUCCAAACUAUCUUCUAUUUACCUGUGUAAUGACAAAUAGAACAUGGAUACACAUUACCCUGAUU
rnacentral:lncRNA from 1 species